rnacentral:tRNA from 1 species
GCCCCAGUGGCGCAAUGGAUAGCGCGGUCGGACUUCUAAUCCGGAGGUUGAGGGUUCGAGUCCCUCCUGGGGUA